CGGAGCUGUAGAGUUUUCUGGAAUUUCUUGCGCAGUUCGAGAUCUUCAAACAGGUUUCUUAGCUGUACAUCCUAUCCUCAGUGGGUCGCAAAUGUGGUGCCAGUACCUAAGAAGGGUGGAAAAGUGCGUAUGUGUGUAGACUACAGGGAUAUGAAUAGGGAAAUCCCCAAGAAUGACUUCCCACUUCCACAUAUUGAUGAUCUGGUUGAUAACACUGCUCAGCACAAGGUAUUCUCUUUCAUGGAUGACUUCUCAGGGUAUAAUCAGAUCAAAAUGGCGCCUGAAGACAUGGAGAAGACUACUUUUGUUACGUAG